rnacentral:tRNA from 1 species
GAAGAGAUGGCCAAGUGGUGAAGGCAAUGGCCUGCCAAUCCAUUGUGGGUUUGAACCCCAUUCUUGUUG